rnacentral:rRNA from 1 species
UACGAAGGGGGCUAGCGUUGCUCGGAAUUACUGGGCGUAAAGCGCACGUAGGCGGCUCUUUAAGUCGGGGGUGAAAUCCUGGAGCUCAACUCCAGAACUGCCUUCGAUACUGAAGAGCUUGAGUCCGGGAGAGGUGAGUGGAACUGCGAGUGUAGAGGUGAAAUUCGUAGAUAUUCGCAAGAACACCAGUGGCGAAGGCGGCUCACUGGCUCAUUACUGACGCUCAGGCGCGACAGCGUGGGGAUCAAACAGG